rnacentral:rRNA from 1 species
AGGGAAUCUUCCGCAAUGGACGAAAGUCCGACGGAGCAACGCCGCGUGAGCGAUGAAGGCCUUCGGGUCGUAAAGCUCUGUUGUUAGGGAAGAACAAGUAUCGGAGUAACUGCCGGUACCUUGACGGUACCUAACCAGAAAGCCACGGCUAACUACGUGCCAGCAGCCGCGGUAAUACGUAGGUGGCAAGCGUUGUCCGGAAUUAUUGGGCGUAGAGCGCGCGCAGGCGGUCCUUUAAGUCUGAUGUGAAAGCCCACGGCUCAACCGUGGAGGGUCAUUGGAAACUGGGGGACUUGAGUGCAGAAGAGGAAAGCGGAAUUCCACGUGUAGCGGUGAAAUGCGUAGAGAUGUGGAGGAACACCAGUGGCGAAGGCGGCUUUCUGGUCUGUAACUGACGCUGAGGCGUGAAAGCGUGGGGAGCAAAC